rnacentral:rRNA from 1 species
GACGAACGCUGGCGGCGUGCUUAACACAUGCAAGUCGAACGGAAAGGCCCUGCUUUUGUGGGGUGCUCGAGUGGCGAACGGGUGAGUAACACGUGAGUAACCUGCCCUUGACUUUGGGAUAACUUCAGGAAACUGGGGCUAAUACCGGAUAGGAGCUCCUGCUGCAUGGUGGGGGUUGGAAAGUUUCGGCGGUUGGGGAUGGACUCGCGGCUUAUCAGCUUGUUGGUGGGGUAGUGGCUUACCAAGGCUUUGACGGGUAGCCGGCCUGAGAGGGUGACCGGCGACAAUGGGACUGAGAUACGGCCCAGACUCCUACGGGAGGCAGCAGUGGGGAGUAUUGCACAAUGGGCGGAAGCCUGAUGCAGCGACGCCGCGUGCGGGAUGACGGCCUUCGGGUUGUAAACCGCUUUCGCCUGUGACGAAGCGUGAGUGACGGUAAUGGGUAAAGAAGCACCGGCUAACUACGUG